CGAAACGAGGUCAUUAGGGUGGUCUCUAAUCCAAUAUGACUGGGGUCCUUAUCAGAGACUAGGGCAUGGGUAUGUACAGAGGGAGACCAUGCAAAGACACAGGGAGAAGACGCCAUCUGCAAGCAGAGAGAGGUCGCUGAGGGGACUGACCCUGGGGACACCUUGACCUCAGAUUUCCAGCCUCCAGAACUUCUGAAGCAAGCCUUUCGGGUGUCCAAGCAAAGAAGCUUCGAAUCCCUUCCAGGAUGGAGAUGGCUGUACGCGUGAACUACUAUCAGCCGCACCAGCCCCGGGUCCAGGGCGAGGGCCAAGGCACCCACCCCGAGAGACCCUGCACAGCGACCUUCCAGAACUACUGCAUGGAACGAUGCCCCGGGCUUCUUCCCAGCCAGUCCGCAGCCACAGCUGCAGGGGACAACAGGCGACUGGAUCUUCUGUUUCCUGCCUCCUGGGAGGCAGCAGUCAGCCCCAGGCGCCAUCUCCUUGGACCAGGUCUUACCCCGAUGAUUCAGGAAGGCCUUUUGAAAGAAAAUUGAACUUGUCAUUGAGAACACUUGUAUGAAAAAAUUGAUA